CUAUUUUCUACCACAAUCAGUAUUACCUUCUUUUUAUUUCCAGGCCUUAUCAAGGGGACAAAUGCAGAGUCUGCUGUUUACAGGCACCUGGUUUCAGAAGAGUUUCUUCUUCCAAUCCUACUCUUGAGAUGGGUAUAAGUGCACAUGCACAGUGUUACACUCCCAGUGUUUGCUUUGGAGAGUCAGUUCUGAAACGAAGAACAUCUUUGGACCUGCCUUUCUGAUCUCUGUGUGAAUCACUGAACACUCCCCAAUAAAGAGUUGUAGAGGAGGAUCUGCUCACUGCUUUAUCUC
rnacentral:lncRNA from 1 species